CAGCAGAAAGGCUGUCCCUCCAUUCUUCCAGGGCAAGCUGCUGCGCACCAUCCUCUUCGGGGUCAAGAGGGUGACUGCGAACAACCUGGAGACCUUCAUCUUCAUCCUCUUCCUCCUGGUGUUUGCCAUCGCUGCAGCCGCCUAUGUAUGGAUUGAAGGUAAACGCCACGGCCUCUGUGGUCCCCUGCGCCCGCCCUCCGAGGCUCCAGGCUGGCAGGCCCUGUCUCCACAGGUACCAAGGACCCCAGCCGGAACCGCUACAAGCUGUUUCUGGAGUGCACCCUGAUCCUCACCUCGGUCGUGCCUCCUGAGCUGCCCAUCGAGCUGUCCCUGGCCGUCAACACCUCCCUCAUUGCCCUGGCCAAGCUCUGUGAGUGUGUCAAAUGGGGUAGGGUGCCAAGUGGGCUGGGGCCAAGCAGGACCCCUGACCUCACUCCCGCCCCUAGACAUGUACUGCACAGAGCCCUUCCGGAUCCCCUUUGCUGGCAAGGUCGAGGUGUGCUGCUUUGACAAGACGGGGACCUUGACCAGUGACAGCCUGGUGGUGCGCGGUGUGGCCGGGCUGAGAGACGGGAAGGAGGUGACCCCAGUGUCCAGCAUCCCUGUAGAAACACACCGGGCCCUGGCCUCGUGCCACUCGCUCAUGCAGCUGGACGACGGCACCCUCGUGGGUGAUCCUCUAGAGAAGGCCAUGCUGACGGCCGUGGACUGGACGCUGACCAAAG
rnacentral:sRNA from 1 species